GCUGGUGAACUGCGGGUUGUAAUGCAGGAACACGGCACCGCGCAUCUGGUCGAUGUUGUGGAACAAAGGGUUCCAGUCAAACAUUGCUAUCAUUGAUGCGGGCAGUGUGUUGACAACAAACAUUUUGCCCGACGCGAGCAUAUUCACACGUG
rnacentral:ncRNA from 1 species